rnacentral:rRNA from 1 species
CUUCCGCAUGGUNGAAAGUCUCNCCGGAGCACGCCGCGUGAGUGAUGAAGGUUUUCGGAUCGUAAAGCUCUGUUGUUAGGGAAGAACAAGUACCGUUCGAAUAGGGCGGUCACCUUGACGGUACCUAACCAGAAAGCCACGGCUAACUACGUGCCAGCAGCCGCGGUAAUACGUAGGUGGCAAGCGUUGUCCGGAAUUAUUGGGCGUAAAGGGCUCGCAGGCGGUUUCUUAAGUCUGAUGUGAAAGCCCCCGGCUCAACCGGGGAGGGUCAUUGGAAACUGGGGAACUUGAGUGCAGAAGAGGAGAGUGGAAUUCCACGUGUAGCGGUGAAAUGCGUAGAGAUGUGGAGGAACACCAGUGGCGAAGGCGACUCUCUGGUCUGUAACUGACGCUGAGGAGCGAAAGCGUGGGGAGCGAACAGGAAUUAGAUACCCUGGUAGUCCACGCCCUAAACGAUGAGUGCUAAGUGUUAGGGGGUUUCCCGCCCCCUUACUGAUGCAGCUUAAGGCNUUAANCCACUCCGCCUGGGGGA